GUGCCAGCCGCCGCGGUAAUGCCGGCAGCCCGAGUGAUGGCCGAUAUUAUUGGGCCUAAAGCGUCCGUAGCUGGCCGAACAAGUCCGUCGGGAAAUCCACGUGCUUAACGCGUGGGCGACCGGCGGAAACUGUUCGGCUUGGGGCCGGAGGACCCGAGGGGUACGUCCGGGGUAGGAGUGAAAUCCCAUAAUCCCGCACGGACCACCGAUGGCGAAAGCACCUUGGAAGGACGGAUCCGACAGUGAGGGACGAAAGCUAGGGUCUCAAACCGGAUUAGAAACCCCAGUAGUCC
rnacentral:rRNA from 1 species